UCUUAUGUACAUGCCUACAACAUAGUGUUAAUGCAUCGAAUCCCAUUAGAACUCCGCAAUUAAGCAUGCUCGGGUUAGAGUAGUACUGGGAUGGGUGACCACCCAGAAAGUCCUAUUGUUUUACAUGAU
rfam:Picea glauca, whole genome shotgun sequence.